rnacentral:rRNA from 1 species
UACGGGAGGCAGCAGUGGGGAAUAUUGGACAAUGGGCGAAAGCCUGAUCCAGCCAUGCCGCAUGAGUGAAGAAGGCCUUCGGGUUGUAAAGCUCUUUUAGUGAGAAAGAUAAUGACGGUACUCACAGAAGAAGUCCUGGCUAACUCCGUGCCAGCAGCCGCGGUAAUACGGAGAGGGCUAGCGUUAUUCGGAAUUAUUGGGCGUAAAGAGCGCGUAGGCUGAUUAGUAGUUAAAAGUGAAAUCCCAAAGCUUAACUUUGGAAUUGCUUUUUAAAACUGCUAGUCUAGAGAUUUGAAAGAGGAUAGAGGAAUUCCUAGUGUAGAGGUGAAAUUCGUAAAUAUUAGGAGGAACACCAGUGGCGAAGGUGUCUAUCGUGGUUCAAAUCUGACGCUGAGGCGCGAAGGCGUGGGGAGCAAACGAGGGAUUAGACUACCCGU